UACGGAGGGUGCGAGCGUUGCUCGGAAUUACUGGGCGUAAAGCGCACGUAGGCGGCUUGUUAAGUCGGAGGUGAAAUCCUGGAGCUCAACUCCAGAACUGCCUUCGAUACUGGCGAGCUUGAGUUCGGGAGAGGUGAGUGGAACUGCGAGUGUAGAGGUGAAAUUCGUAGAUAUUCGCAAGAACACCAGUGGCGAAGGCGGCUCACUGGCCCGAUACUGACGCUGAGGUGCGAAAGCGUGGGAGCAAACAGG
rnacentral:rRNA from 1 species